rnacentral:tRNA from 1 species
AGUUCUGUAUUCAAUGAUGAUUUUAAAUUGCAAAUUUAAAGGUGAAUAAAUAUAAGAUUCCGGAACUU